GUUUGAUUUUCUGUAGGAUGUAUGGAUAUGGUGACUAUUGGGUUAUGACAGUGAGUUCGAAACAAUAUUCAGAUUCAGAAAUAUUAAAAGUUAAAGAUUCAAAGACACAAAGUAACGAACGAGGAAAAUAACAACGUUUUGAAACACUGCUUGGAAGUCGGCAGAACAAUUUAUAAUUGCACCAAAAGAAUUCGUCAAGAGCCAGGUUUUCAUCACUGAGUGAGAUGGAGGCCUAUCAAGUCUGAAGAGCAAAAUCAGAAAUAUUAAAAGUUAAAGAUUCAAAGACACAAAGUAACAAACAAGGAAUAUAACAAUUGUUGGUAAGAAAAAGAAGAGAGGACCUGAAUAUUAAGUUUUCUAGAACACUGCUUGGAAGAGUCAUGCUUCAAACGGAAUCGACAUUGUUAAUAGUCUGGUGCAUCACUGAGUGAGAUGGAAGCUUAUAUAUAUAGUCCAAAGAGUAAAGAGCAAGAUUCCUCAAAUAUGGAACUUCACGACACUUUCUGUUUUUCAAAAAGAAAUGAAACUCAAUUAUUCAAAUAUGAAGAAGAGUUUUAUUAAAGAUAACUAAGAUGUGCUAUCCAACAAAUGCAUUGGGCCCACACACAAGACUUUGAUAUUGAAAAAUAGACUGUUGUUUGAGACUAUCCCAUUGUCAUAUGUACUUUAAGCUCGUAUGCAUGUGCACUGGUUACUAAUAUGUGGUCGCAAACAAAUGCAUGGGGGUGCACACGCAAAUGCAUUUUAUAUCAAAUAAGACUGUUGAUUAAAACUAUACCAAAAUGCCAUACAUACUGUAAAAGGAUUAAAUGCAGAAAUUUAAUAUGAGUCGACCCAUGAGGAACUAACUAUUUAUGUAAUUUGAAUUAUUGUAAACGGAUUCUUGAUUAUACAUUUAUUAAUGGAUUGAAUCAAAGCUCAGAAAACUAAAUAAGAUUGUUAUUUGUAUUCUAACACCCUGCAAUGCCAUUCUGUUUUUGAUGUCGUGGUAUGAAAAUUUUUAAAUACUCUCGUUUUACGUUAUUCUUACUUCAGAAUAUUUUUAUUACUGUUAAUGUAUAUUUUUACUGAAGCGUUUCUGUAAUAUGCUGUAUCAUUAUUUGCCUAUCUUUUUGUCAUAAUCAUUAUUUUCUAUUGUAUUUUUUAAAAUAUUUUCAACAGGGAAAACAAGAUAUUGUGACAGCGACAAAAGAAGAAAU